rnacentral:misc_RNA from 1 species
AACUUUUGGCAAUGGAUCACUGCGUUCUGGCAUCGAUGAAGAACGCAGCUAAAUGCGAUAAGUAAUGUGAAUUGCAGAAUUCAGUGAAUCAUCGAAUUUUUGAACGCACAUUGCGCCCGGUGGUAUUCCGCCUGGCAUGCCUGUUCGAGCGUCAUUUAAACCAAUCCAGCCUCGUGCUUGGGUCUUGGGCCUUUCGCCUCUGGGCGGGCCUCAAAAUCAGUGACGGUGCCUUCUGGCUCUAAGCGUAGUAAUACUCCUCGCUAUAGAUGUUAGGUGGUGUCCUGCCAGCAAUCCCCAAUUUUCAAAGGUUGACCUCGGAUCAGGUAGGGAUACCCGCUGAACUUAAGCAUAUCAAUAAGCGGAGGCU